AUGGAGCUCCUGGUGGUUCCUUCGCCUCUGCCUCGUUCCAGGGACGGAAUCCCUCGCACCCACUCCUCCCGCGUCUCCACUGCUCCGAUAUGCUCCGUCGCCACCUUGCCAACCUCGCUCGCGUCGGGAUCCGGAGAUCCCUCGCCUCAAGCGUCGCCGCCCAUGGACGCCAUGGCUUCAAGCCCAAUCGUCACCGGGAAUACGUCCUUUUGUCGCAUGGAGCAACAUUGUAGGACCUCCUCCCCGCCUUGGCCUUCAAGUUGCUGCCACCGUCCUUCAUCUUCGUCGGUGACCACCAAGCUCCGCCAGGAGCCGAACUCCGUCUAUAUGGAUGCAUGUCGCUUCUUCGUCCUGGAAAAGAUCCUCGUCGCCCCGAGCUCAUGCAAGCUGUCAAGCCCCGCCGCCGCUGGGAACGAGCUCCCCGUGCCCUGGAUCCGGUUGAUCCGAGCUUCCCCAUGCCCAAGACUUCGCUGCCCCUUUGCCCCGCUCGCCGCAACUCUGCUCCCGGCCACCAGCACCCGGCUCGCCUCCUCUGCAUCGCUCUUCUUCCCCUGUAACAAAUGA
rnacentral:rRNA from 1 species